UUUCUUCCAGAUACUGCUAAAAUGUCCACUUUAUAUUUAUUUACCUUAUAUGCCAUACUGCCUUACAGGUAGGUUUCCGUUUCUGUCUUCCCCGCUAGUCCUCAUUUUCUUGUUUCUAUACACAUGGUGCGAAGAACACUGGUGAUUUGAUAUUAAUUAAACCUUGUUAAUUUGAGCAUCGUCACUAUAUUUUCUCUUGUUUGGGGGAUAUAUUUCCUUUUUGUUUUUCAAAUACAAGUUAGUAUUAUAUGACACAUUUUCUUUGUUUUUCUUUUUUUUUUAACAUUUAUUUAAUUUAUUUUAUGUGUACACUGUGACUGUCUUCAGACACACCAGAAGACAGGAUCAGAUCCCAUUAUAGAUGGUUGUAAGCUGCCAUGUGGUUUCUGGGAUUUGAACUCAGGAUGUCUGGAAGAGCAGUCAGUGCUCUUAACCUCGGAGCCAUCUCUCCAGCCUGGGGAAAUAUUUCUUAAUGCCAUAAACACAUUUACUUUUUGUAUCACUGUUCCUUUCUAAAGUAUUUGGACUAUAAUAAUGAUACCUAAUAAAUUUGUAAGUCCUAAUUAUCACAACAUAAAGCAAUAAUUAUUGAUAUUCUACACUAAUUUUCUUAGAACAUUAUUCAAAAUUUAUACAAGAUAUUCUUUUAGGUUUGCAUAAUACUUUAUAAAAAUGUGCCAAAAUAUAAAGACAGCAAAAAUGGAGCAUAAAAUGUUGUGCAGUUAAUGAUUACUUAAGGCAAGAAUGAACUUAUAAGCUUAUAAAUGUAGAGCUGUGUAUGUACCUGACAAGGGAAAAAAUGGUCUCUUUGUGAGUCUUUAAUUUGAGAUUAAUCAGUUUUCUUGGUGACUCAUCUUGAUCAAGUGUGUCCAGCAGUAUUUAUUUAGUGUGUAGCAAUAACUAUGAGAAACACCUAAAGGAGACAGACCUCAGGUAUUUCUUCCCCUGCAGUCACUUAAAAAGCUAGAAAAUUUGAGAUUGCUGCUAUCACACUUAUAAGAAAAAGAUGUAGCCAGACAUAGUCAAACUGAUUUCCUUAAUUUCUUAAAUAGUUUUAGCUAAAAAUUCAAAUUAACUGUGUAUCUUUCCUUUGUUAGCACACAUGUUUCCUAAAAUAUUUAGUACUAUCUUCAGCGAGUGGCUAGUCAGAUCUAAGACUUCCAGUCCUUUUGCCGUUAGCUUCCUGAAUGACUGGGGUUACCAGCUUGUGCCACCAGGCCCAGCUUAUCCUCAGUUUUAAAUUUUUUACUUGUUCUAAUUUGUAUGUGUGUGUGUGUUUGUGUGUGAGUCUUUUUCUUUUCUUUCUGUUGCUAUUUUGAUACAGUAUCUUGUGUCAUCCAGACUUGCCUCAAACUCCCUGUGCAGCUGAGAAUUGACUUGAUCGUCCUAUCUCCACUUCCUGAGUAUUGGCAUUAUAGACAUGUAUUAACAUAUCUAUCUUAAUUUGUGUUUGAGAAUGAUAAAUGCAUCCCUCUAUUCCCUUUCCUAUUCUUCCCAUACAUGCCUCCCCCACUUUCCCCUUCAAUUUCGUGAGUUCUUUUUACAGAACCCAUAGAAAAGAAAAACCACCCUUAAAUUGUGGUUUCAACUCUUCUUGAAAAUAAAAACAGUAAAUGAGAAACAGU
rnacentral:lncRNA from 1 species